GUGCGCUACUUCAUCCAAAGAGUUAAAUAAAGGCGCGCGAAAAUAUUUUAUCACUCUACAAUUCGUAUCCACGCAAUUCGAAAGAAAUCUCGCUUUAAAACAUUUUCCGUUCAGAUCUAUACACAUUUUCGAUAUCGCCGGCGAUGGCGACACUAAAUCAAGAAGCAAUCGAAACGUUCACGAGAAACACUGGCGCUUCUGAGUCGAACGCAUUUAAAAAAUUGGAGAAUUUGGCAUAACUUGAUCCCAUUUACGCAGUUUUUUCUCUUCCUAAUUAUACUAUGGAUAUGAACACUCUAGUCAAGCUGGGCCAAGCAAACUUUUACACCUUCUUUCUGCUGCCAGAACUUUCAGGCCAUCAUUGUUACUUGAUCCAAUUACAAAGAGAAUGAGAUUGGUGCUUCUGCUUUCAAUGGUCAUACACCUGUUUCACAUACAGGAGGAAUGGUGGGGGCACUUGGAGAGUUUAGUAGUUGGAAUAAGCAGCCUCAUAAUGCAGGAUUUAUGCCAUCUGAUUAUAAUGGAUGGAUAAAUCCGUCAUCUCAUAUUCUGGAUGCUCAGGGAAUGUCUCAGGGGACGAUUUGCAUUUGUAUGGCAAUGAUAUAAGAGAAAUGAUUCAAGCUGCUAUUGAGGCUUCAAGACGAGAAGUUAAAGAGGGUUAUAGGAAUAAGCAAUUUGGUUCAUGGAUUUUGAAUCAUAGAUUUUUUUACCAAUGAGUGAUCCUUUUAUUAUCUGUUUUCAGUUCUUUCUAUUCCCUUUUUGAUGCAGGAUUCAUUUGGCAUUGGACUUAUGCAAAGGCAACUUGACAUGAUGAAUUAUCUUGUGCUGGUUCAUUGUCUUUACAGACAACUGAGCAAGAGAAAGCAAUGCCUGAACUAGUAUUGAAAGACAGGGAUCAACAGCUGGGAGUCUUUGGUUUAGGUAUAGAAGCAGAGAAAACUGACAGUAGCAGUAGGAAGG